CUCUCAGUUUCACGGCAGCCCAGGACAACACUGCUGUGGGACAGAAAUUUACUGGCCUCGUACUGAGAUCUGCUGCAAUGGACACAGACAUCUGAAAUCAGAAAACAUUCACUGCUGUGGGGUCAAAGCCUACAACAUUAAAGACCCACAGAUGAAGUGCUGUGCAGGAACACUGUACAAUCUGACAUCAUUAGACAAGCAUGGAGGGAAUGCGCAGUGCUGCGGAUCCAUUCUGCAAAAGCCAGAGGACAUUUGCUGCUCAAGUGAGGACAAAGAGAUGCUCUACUCUGCCAAGACAGGGUUCAGAUGCUGUGGUCACCUUUACUAUAACACCACCCUGUGGUCAUGCUGUGCUGGGGGGCUGAGAA